rnacentral:rRNA from 1 species
GAUGAACGCUGGCGGUAUGCUUAACACAUGCAAGUCGAACGGGAUGCUUAGGCAUCUAGUGGCGGACGGGUGAGUAACGCGUGAGAAUCUGGCUCCAGGUCGGGGAUAACAGUUGGAAACGACUGCUAAUACCGGAUGUGCCGAGAGGUGAAAGAUUUAUUGCCUGGAGAUGAGCUCGCGUCUGAUUAGCUAGUUGGUGGUGUAAGGGACCACCAAGGCGUCGAUCAGUAGCUGGUCUGAGAGGAUGAUCAGCCACACUGGGACUGAGACACGGCCCAGACUCCUACGGGAGGCAGCAGUGGGGAAUUUUCCGCAAUGGGCGAAAGCCUGACGGAGCAAUACCGCGUGAGGGAGGAAGGCUCUUGGGUCGUAAACCUCUUUUCUCAAGGAAGAAGAAAGUGACGGUACUUGAGGAAUAAGCAUCGGCUAACUCCGUGCCAGCAGCCGCGGUAAUACGGAGGAUGCAAGCGUUAUCCGGAAUGAUUGGGCGUAAAGGGUCUGCAGGUGGAACUGAAAGUCUGCUGUUAAAGAGUUUGGCUUAACCAAAUAAAAGCGGUGGAAACUACAGAACUAGAGUGCGGUAGGGGCAAAAGGAAUUCCUGGUGUAGCGGUGAAAUGCGUAGAUAUCAGGAAGAACACCGGUGGCGAAAGCGUUUUGCUAGACCGUAACUGACACUGAGGGACGAAAGCUAGGGGAGCGAAUGGGAUUAGAUACCCCAGUAGUCCUAGCCGUAAACGAUGGAUACUAGGCGUGGCUUGUAUCGACCCGAGCCGUGCCGGAGCUAACGCGUUAAGUAUCCCGCCUGGGGAGUACGCACGCAAGUGUGAAACUCAAAGGAAUUGACGGGGGCCCGCACAAGCGGUGGAGUAUGUGGUUUAAUUCGAUGCAACGCGAAGAACCUUACCAAGACUUGACAUCCUGCGAAUCCUGGUGAAAGCUGGGAGUGCCUUAGGGAGCGCAGAGACAGGUGGUGCAUGGCUGUCGUCAGCUCGUGUCGUGAGAUGUUGGGUUAAGUCCCGCAACGAGCGCAACCCUCGUUUUUAGUUGCCAGCAUUAAGUUGGGCACUCUAGAGAGACUGCCGGUGACAAACCGGAGGAAGGUGAGGAUGACGUCAAGUCAGCAUGCCCCUUACGUCUUGGGCUACACACGUACUACAAUGCUACGGACAGAGGGCAGCAAGCCAGGGAUGGCAAGCGAAUCCAGAAACCGUAGCUCAGUUCAGAUCGAAGGCUGCAACUCGCCUUCGUGAAGGAGGAAUCGCUAGUAAUUGCAGGUCAGCAUACUGCAGUGAAUUCGUUCCCGGGCCUUGUACACACCGCCCGUCACACCAUGGAAGUUGGUCACGCCCGAAGUCAUUACCCCAACCGAAAGGAGGGGGAUGCCUAAGGUAGGACUGGUGACUGGGGUGAA